AGUGAACGCUGGCGGCAGGCCUAAUACAUGCAAGUCGAACGGCAGCACAGCAGAGCUUGCUCUGUGGGUGGCGAGUGGGCGGACGGGUGAGGAAUACGUGGGAAUCUGCCCAGUCGUGGGGGAUAACGUAGGGAAACUUACGCUAAUACCGCAUGCGCCCUUCGGGGAAAGCCGGGGACCUUCGGGCCUGGCGCGAUUGGAUGAGCCCACGUCGGAUUAGCUAGUUGGCGGGGUAAAGGCCCACCAAGGCGACGAUCCGUAGCUGGUCUGAGAGGAUGAUCAGCCACACUGGAACUGAGACACGGUCCAGACUCCUACGGGAGGCAGCAGUAGGGAAUAUUGGACAAUGGGCGCAAAGCCUGAUCCAGCCAUGCCGCGUGAGUGAAGAAGG
rnacentral:rRNA from 1 species